AGUGUUGGAGGGUUUCCGCCCUUCAGUGCUGCAGCUAACGCAUUAAGCACUCCGCCUGGGGAGUACGACCGCAAGGUUGAAACUCAAAGGAAUUGACGGGGGCCCGCACAAGCGGUGGAGCAUGUGGUUUAAUUCGAAGCAACGCGAAGAACCUUACCAGGUCUUGACAUCCUUUGACCACUCUAGAGAUAGAGCUUCCCCUUCGGGGGCAAAGUGACAGGUGGUGCAUGGUUGUCGUCAGCUCGUGUCGUGAGAUGUUGGGUUAAGUCCCGCAACGAGCGCAACCCUUAUUGUUAGUUGCCAUCAUUNAGUUGGGCACUCUAGCAAGACUGCCGGUGACAAACCGGAGGAAGGUGGGGAUGACGUCAAAUCAUCAUGCCCCUUAUGACCUGGGCUACACACGUGCUACAAUGGGAAGUACAACGAGUUGCGAAGUCGCGAGGCUAAGCUAAUCUCUUAAAGCUUCUCUCAGUUCGGAUUGCAGGCUG
rnacentral:rRNA from 1 species